rnacentral:misc_RNA from 1 species
UGAACGCAGAGCAAGACCGUCAAUCCACCGCGACUGUCGAUCCAACGCUCGGGAAACACAUCAAGGAUGGCCGGCACAAAGAGGAAUAUCCAACUUGCCAUAAGAAUGAUGCUCGAUACGCGAAGGGUAAGCGCAGCAAACAAAGCCGUUCCUGCGAGUAGCAAGAAGAGCAAGAAGAUGUUCACGACCACCAGGCCAGUUCCGC